UAAGGAAUAUUGGUCAAUGGACGCAAGUCUGAACCAGCCAUGCCGCGUGAAGGAUGAAGGUCCUCUGGAUUGUAAACUUCUUUUAUCUGGGACGAAAACGGGAUUUUUAUCUCAAUUGACGGUACCAGAGGAAUAAGCACCGGCUAACUCCGUGCCAGCAGCCGCGGUAAUACGGAGGGUGCGAGCGUUAUCCGGAUUUACUGGGUGUAAAGGGCGCGCAGGCGGGAUAAAAAGUCAGUGGUGAAAUCCUACAGCCUAACUGUAGAACUGCCUUUGAUACUUUUAGUCUUGAGUUCGGGAGAGAGAGACGGAAUUCCAGGUGUAGUGGUGAAAUACGUAGAUAUCUGGAGGAACACCAGUUGCGAAGGCGGUCUCUUGGUCCGACACUGACGCUGAGGCGCGAAAGCGUGGGGAGCAAACA
rnacentral:rRNA from 1 species